rnacentral:rRNA from 1 species
ACGGAGGGUGCAAGCGUUGUUCGGAAUCACUGGGCGUAAAGGACGCGCAGGCGGUUUGGUAAGUCAGAAGUGAAAUCCGUCGGCUCAACCGACGAACGGCUUCUGAUACUGCCAGACUUGAGUACGGGAGAGGAAAGCGGAAUUCCCAGUGUAGAGGUGAAAUUCGUAGAUAUUGGGAAGAACACCGGUGGCGAAGGCGGCUUUCUGGACCGAUACUGACGCUGAGGCGUGAAAGCGUGGGGAGCAAACAGG